rnacentral:rRNA from 1 species
UGGGGAAUAUUGGGGCAAAUGGGGCGCAAGCCUGACCCAGCAACGCCGCGUGAAGGAAGAAGGCUUUCGGGUUGUAAACUUCUUUUAUCAGGGACGAAGACAAUGACGGUACCUGAUGAAUAAGCCACGGCUAACUACGUGCCAGCAGCCGCGGUAAUACGUAGGUGGCAAGCGUUAUCCGGAUUUACUGGGUGUAAAGGGCGUGUAGGCGGGCUAGCAAGUCAGAUGUGAAAACUAUGGGCUCAACCCAUAGCCUGCAUUUGAAACUGUUGGUCUUGAGUGCUGGAGAGGCAAUCGGAAUUCCUAGUGUAGCGGUGAAAUGCGUAGAGAUUAGGAAG